ACGCUGGCGGCAGGCCUAACACAUGCAAGUCGAGCGGUAGAGAGAAGCUUGCUUCUCUUGAGAGCGGCGGACGGGUGAGUAAUGCCUAGGAAUCUGCCUGGUAGUGGGGGAUAACGUUCGGAAACGGACGCUAAUACCGCAUACGUCCUACGGGAGAAAGCAGGGGACCUUCGGGCCUUGCGCUAUCAGAUGAGCCUAGGUCGGAUUAGCUAGUUGGUGGGGUAAUGGCUCACCAAGGCGACGAUCCGUAACUGGUCUGAGAGGAUGAUCAGUCACACUGGAACUGAGACACGGUCCAGACUCCUACGGGAGGCAGCAGUGGGGAAUAUUGGACAAUGGGCGAAAGCCUGAUCCAGCCAUGCCGCGUGUGUGAAGAAGGUCUUCGGAUUGUAAAGCACUUUAAGUUGGGAGGAAGGGCAGUUGCCUAAUACGUAACUGUUUUGACGUUACCGACAGAAUAAGCACCGGCUAACUCUGUGCCAGCAGCCGCGGUAAUACAGAGGGUGCAAGCGUUAAUCGGAAUUACUGGGCGUAAAGCGCGCGUAGGUGGUUUGUUAAGUUGGAUGUGAAAUCCCCGGGCUCAACCUGGGAACUGCAUUCAAAACUGACUGACUAGAGUAUGGUAGAGGGUGGUGGAAUUUCCUGUGUAGCGGUGAAAUGCGUAGAUACAGGAAGGAACACCAGUGGCGAAGGCGACCACCUGGACUGAUACUGACACUGAGGUGCGAAAGCGUGGGGAGCAAAC
rnacentral:rRNA from 1 species